UACACAUUGUCUCUUUUUCUUUCUUUGCUAUAUUACUCUGUCUAUAUCUUUUCUUUAGUAUAUUACUCUUUGUCUAUUACUCAUUGGUCAUUAAUUUCCUUCCAGUACUCAUCAUAUAUUGUUUUUUCCAUAAUGCAGAAGUAAUCAUUAAUUCCUUUACUGUGCCAACGUACUCAUCACAUUUAUUUUUAUUACAAUAUUAAUUCUCAUUCACCCUUUGUACGUAUUAACCA